rnacentral:lncRNA from 1 species
GGACAUGCAGGACAUGAACAACCCCCUGUCUCAUUACUGGAUCUCCUCGUCACAUAACACUGGACUGCUGGGACGGGCCCGAUGGGAAGCCGGUCAUCUACCAUGGCUGGACGCGGACUACCAAGAUCAAGUUUGACGACGUCGUGCAGGCCAUCAAAGACCACGCCUUUGUUACCUCGAGCAUAAGAAGCUGGGCCCCCGAGGCGAUGUGGAUGUCAACAUGGAGGACAAGAAGGACGAACACAAGCAACAGGGGGAGCUGUACAUGUGGGAUUCCAUUGACCAGGAUCCAGUACCCGGUGCUGCCGUGCAUUUAGGUUGUCCUGACUCCUUCGUGUCCUCCAACUGGGGGUCGUUCCACCAGAAACCUUAUUUUUCAGACUUUAAUGCUGCCUCUAUCCCUUUACCUAAUGUGUAUAUCCAUUUUGAGUAUAUUUUUACAUGUCCGUUCUUA